AUUUACUGUUCCGUCUUAAUCGACCGCUGUUAAAAUAAAUAAAUAAAAAAAAAAAAAAGGUAAAUUUAUUAAUUGGGUAGAAGCGUUACACAACGGGAACGAGCGAAUAACUGAAGAAGGAUUUAGCCUUUUCAAUAAUUAAGCUGGGGAGGCAGCGUGUGUCGAAAUGCCAUUGAAGUGUAAAAAAAUGAUGCUGACGAUUUUUAUCGAUCAUUCUGUAUCGAUUACGAGUACUGGAUACGACGGAACGGUACUCGAGUCGACAAGGUCGGCCAUGGUGGCAGUCAGACGUCAAUCAUCUGGCCGUCACUUAUCCGGAAGCGUGCUGAUCUGUCCACCGUUUUACUCCACCACCAACUCCGUAGUGGCUUCUAUCGUUGUCCUUUAAUCGAUUAUUCGAUUUGUAUAUUCCUCCGACACCUUUUUACUACGGCAUACCUCCGUAUAAUCGAUCACUUUCCAUACAUUCUAUAUAAAAUCGGGAAUUUCGUUAACGUAAGGCGAUAUUUAAACGUUUCUACAACACUAUCCAGAAUGAGGUAGCGCGAAAAUGUUAAAAAAGAAGUGGCCAAAAUAACUGGCGAAAGAUGCGAAAUUAACAGUUGAAGAUAAACAUUGUUGUUUGUGUUUGAUAUGGUAAGUUUAUCGAGUGUCCAAUGGGGUAUAACUGAAAGGUGGUCGGGUCGGAAAGAAGCGAGGAGAUAGAAGAGAAGGAGCGAAAAGAGAGAUGCGCGAGUAGUAGCAAUUGUAGACCUAUAAACGGAGAUUCGUCGUUUCUCGUUAUCGCCAACUCGAGUGGCAGCAAUUUGCCUGGAUGUCUCGGGACGGCGAUAACAGCUUGACACCGAAGUCUAAUCAGUUUAGAUCGGAUGUCGUUUUUCACUACACCUGCUUUUGUUUUCUCCUUUCUCUUCUCUAACCGUCCGACAGAAAUGAUCGAUUCCGCCAAUAAUCCUCUACAAAAACCUUUAAAUACGCUACAAAUUGUCUCUACCUACUCUUAUCAACCUGUUCGAUGACCAACUUCACAUAACGCUCUUUAAACCGUGACACAUCAUCCCGUCUGGCCUCGUUUAUCCCCCAUACACGUCCGAAAUCGAAUCAAAACAACCGUACCGAUUUUUUAAUCGAUUUUUUAAAUCGAUCUAACGCUUAUUUUUCUAUCCAAACCGCAGAUUUUCUAAUUUUAAAACCGAUAGAAAAUUCUGUCGGAACGUUAAAAGUAAAUUUUGCUCGUUUGGCAUUUAAAAAAAAAAAAAAAAGAAGUCUCGGCUAAAAUUGCUUAACUGGCUAUUUGCUUAAUCUCUGUUUGGAACGGAGACCAAAAUAGCUUUUAAAUGACACAAAAUUAAAUCUUUAUUAAACAAUACGACAAACAAGAAAACUGCAGAACUGCCUACACACGCAUUUGAUAGGAAAAUUGAUAAAAACGUGAAUUUUUUUUUUCCUUCUGACAUAAAUAUUCAGGUAGCCUACAUAAUCCCGAUUGUUUUUCCUAACUUAAUAUUAUAUCGAAGUUUGUGUAGAGACCAUAAUUAAAAAGUCCACUCCGGUUAUAUAUGUAUAUAUAUAUAUAUAUAGGUCAUUUUCUAUAGAUUUAC
rnacentral:lncRNA from 1 species